rnacentral:lncRNA from 1 species
AAGGAGCCAAACUUGUACUGAGCUAGAAGAAAAGCUUUCCAGGCAGAGGGAACAGCAAGUGCAAAGGCCACGUGGCAGGAAGAGAUCAGUGUGCUGGAUGGAUAGACAGAAGGCCAGUGUGGCAAGGACUUAGCACCACACCCAGUGGAGAAGGAUGUGAACCAGAGAGUUGGCUGAAGCACAUCCUGCUUCCUACUAACCAGCCUACUAAACAAGAGCAAAGAUUAACAGGGCCGUGUUUCAGGAAGAAUGUCUGUGCUUUGAAGGGUGCAAAGAGCAACAAGCCCCGCCCAGGAGGACUGCUCCCUGAGAGCUCCACCAGCUUUCCUGGGGCAGAUGCACAUCCAGCCUGAUGACCAAUGUUCUCUGCUCCACACCGGCAUUUCAGUCCUGGGCUGUUGGUUACCUGUUCACAUCUUCCCUUCCAUCUGGAUGUAUGAACUUCUAAAGAGUAGAGACACUGUCUUCUGGAGCAGAGGGGGCAGGAGCAUUAUUAGUAUGAAGAAUUGGCUGCUCUCCAUUUGCGCCUCCAGAUCCCCCCUCCACCCUUCUCUGCUGGGCUCUGUGUCCUGGGAGGCUGAACUCCAUGAACUCCAUCAACAAGUCUUCCUCGAUAUCUGGCUUCCAGAUGGUCAAAGCCAAUGGGAAGUGCUAACAGAUCAGAAGGGAAAAUUUCCCAACUUUGAAGCAAUGAACUUGAGUCCAAGCAGACAACGGCAGUUCCGAGGAGCUUCAGCAUCAGAGAUCAGACACUGAGGCGGCUGAAGCAGCUGAAAUCUGCAGGGCAGAGCACCACAGAGGAGAAAGCCAUGCAAAGUGGGGACAGAAGUACCUGCGGAGGAUCCCCGGAAGUCUCUGGCUGCAGGCUGGGCUGUACAUGUGCAGGAUGAGACUACCCAGUCCCUCCCAGAGAGUGACUGCUACAGGUUUGGAAGCUGAACAGAGGUACAAAAGGCUGAAAAGUGCUGGGGGGCACUGGAGCUGUGACUUGCUGGAGUGCUGAGAUCUAACACCUCAUCAACAUGCUAUGCAUCCAGAUGCGACGCCAGAAUUCACGGCAUUAAAGGAAAAAGUUGUCUUAAUGAAUGCACAGAUGGGGAAUUUCAUCAGGAAGAAAAAUGAAAACUAUAAAAAAAGAAGCAAAC